GAAGAUUAUGUAUAGCUGGAGGCUACAAGCAGAUGGUGACCAAACCUGUCAGAUUGUUUUUUAAAGAUGCUGAGGAGCAGAUUUCUCAUGGGGAGCACCUUCUGAUACAUUUUAAUACGUUUCUUACAGGCUAGUCAAAUAAAGCAGUGGGAGUGGAAAAGGAUCAAAGAAAUCUGUAACCGGUUAUGAUCAAUUAGUUGUAAACACCACUGCACGAGGACCAGCCCAAAGCUGCUACUUAACCAAGUGACUUUCUGAUUGCUCAACUGUGUUUCCACUGAGAAAAAUGCAUUGAAAUGAAACAUCUCAUUUCCAGUACUGUCCUGAGGCAAAAAGAGACAAUGAUACGUAUCUCCAAUUUAGACUGGAUGAAACUAGCCACAUUUCAAAUAAAGAAGUCACAUUGUAAGUGUAAAACGACGUUAACCUUAAAGGAGACAUUUCCGCCCUGUAUAACUAUGCACAGCUUCAACUAAUGGUAUAUGAACUGUGUCUACAAACCAAAGGACAUUUUUCUAAAGAAACUUUAAAUAUAGAAAAUUAACUCAAACCUUACCUUAGAGCUUCCUCCUCUAUUGUCUUUUCCUGUAGUGGUAGUCUCUGUGGCACUUACAGGUGGUAAACAAAUAAAAAAGUGUCUUAUUGAAUUAACUUGAUUGCCAUAUUGAUCAGUUUU
rnacentral:lncRNA from 10 species